UAACGCGUGAGGAACCUGCCUUGAAGAGGGGGACAACAGUUGGAAACGACUGCUAAUACCGCAUGAAGCAUAGGGGUCGCAUGAUCUUUAUGCCAAAGAUUUAUCGCUUCAAGAUGGCCUCGCGUCUGAUUAGCUGGUUGGCGGGGUAACGGCCCACCAAGGCGACGAUCAGUAGCCGGACUGAGAGGUUGAACGGCCACAUUGGGACUGAGAUACGGCCCAGACUCCUACGGGAGGCAGCAGUGGGGAAUAUUGGGCAAUGGGCGCAAGCCUGACCCAGCAACGCCGCGUGAAGGAAGAAGGCUUUCGGGUUGUAAACUUCUUUUAAGAGGGAAGAGCAGAAGACGGUACCUCUAGAAUAAGCCACGGCUAACUACGUGCCAGCAGCCGCGGUAAUACGUAGGUGGCAAGCGUUGUCCGGAUUUACUGGGUGUAAAGGGCGUGCAGCCGGGUCUGCAAGUCAGAUGUGAAAUCCAUGGGCUCAACCCAUGAACUGCAUUUGAAACUGUAGAUCUUGAGUGUCGGAGGGGCAAUCGGAAUUCCUAGUGUAGCGGUGAAAUGCGUAGAUAUUAGGAGGAACACCAGUGGCGAAGGCGGAUUGCUGGACGAUAACUGACGGUGAGGCGCGAAAGUGUGGGGAGCAAACAGGAUUAGAUACCCUGGUAGUCCACACUGUAAACGAUGAAUACUAGGUGU
rnacentral:rRNA from 1 species